UACGGAGGGUGCAAGCGUUGUUCGGAAUCACUGGGCUUAAAGCGCGUGUAGGCGGGCUGUUAAGUCGGACGUGAAAGCCCGGGGCUUACCCCCGGAAGUGCAUUGGAAACUGGGAGACUGGAGUACCGGAGAGGAGGGUGGAAUUCCUGGUGUAGCGGUGAAAUGCGUAGAUAUCAGGAGGAACACCGAUGGCGAAGGCAGGUCUCUGGGCUGACACUGACGCUCAUGCACGAAAUCGUGGGGAGCAAACAGG
rnacentral:rRNA from 1 species